rnacentral:tRNA from 1 species
UCCGAGAUUCCGCGCUUCCA